rnacentral:rRNA from 1 species
AGCGGCGAGUGAAGCGGCAAAAGCUCAAAUUUGAAAUCUGGCUCUUUCAGAGUCCGAGUUGUAAUUUGAAGAAGGUAUCUUUGGGUCUGGCUCUUGUCUAUGUUUCUUGGAACAGAACGUCACAGAGGGUGAGAAUCCCGUGCGAUGAGAUGAUCCAGGCCUAUGUAAAGUUCCUUCGAAGAGUCGAGUUGUUUGGGAAUGCAGCUCUAAGUGGGUGGUAAAUUCCAUCUAAAGCUAAAUAUUGGCGAGAGACCGAUAGCGAACAAGUACAGUGAUGGAAAGAUGAAAAGAACUUUGAAAAGAGAGUGAAAAAGUACGUGAAAUUGUUGAAAGGGAAGGGCUUGAGAUCAGACUUGGUAUUUUGUAUGUUACUUCUUCGGGGGUGGCCUCUACAGUUUAUCGGGCCAGCAUCAGUUUGGGCGGUAGGAGAAUUGCGUUGGAAUGUGGCACGGCUUCGGUUGUGUGUUAUAGCCUUCGUCGAUACUGCCAGCCUAGACUGAGGACUGCGGUUUAUACCUAGGA